rnacentral:misc_RNA from 1 species
GAAAUGCGAUAAGUAGUGUGAAUUGCAGAAUUCAGUGAAUCAUCGAAUCUUUGAACGCACAUUGCGCCCAUUGGUAUUCCAAUGGGCAUGCCUGUUCGAGCGUCAUUUGUACCCUCAAGCCUUGCUUGGUGUUGGGUGUUUGUCCUACAAGACUCGCCUUAAAACAAUUGGCAGCCGGCAUAUUGGUUUCGGAGCGCAGCACAAAUUGCGGUCCUUCCAUGAAUGUCGGCGUCCAUGAAGCCCCCAUUUUCCACUUUUGACCUCGGAUCAGGUAGGGAUACCCGCUGAACUUAA